rnacentral:lncRNA from 1 species
CUGCACCAUGGGCGUAUGUACAUCUCCUUAUGGCAUCUGUGCUUCCACUCCAAUGUAUUCUCCAAACAGUUGAAUGUAAAGUACAUGGAUCUGAAGAAACAUGCAUUGCUUAAUUAUUUUACUUGAAGCUGAACAUUGUUAUUUAUGCUCCUUUCUAGUUAUCUCCAUGGUAAAUCAAUAACAGCAUGGAAAUAUUGUUAAGUAAAUUUACACACUUAUUAUCCCUUAGAUGAUUUUCUUGAGCUUAUUACUUUUAUUUUGAGAACUUCCAGUUCGCUUUCUAAGACCUGCAAUUUUUUAGGUGAUUAUUCCAUUACAAGAUAUAGAUGAGGUAUGCAACCUACGAAGCUCUUUCCGUGGACUUAGUAUUUGCUUUCUAUCAGCUGAGAUAGUAGACAUCCACAUCACUUUAUCCCGCAGAUAAAAAGAAGUCAGCAUUCCCUUAUCAACCCAGCAAUUACUAUUUUUCUUCGUACCGGUUCAGGUGGUCAUGGAACACCCCCUUCAUGCAGUCAAAAUGGUAAUUUAUUGGCUCAAUCUCAUAAUUUUUAAAACGUUGGAUUCAAGAAAAUGCCUAAAUUGGAAAAGUAGUUUAAUAUCAUAGAAUCGAAUUACCACAUUUGUGCAAGUUUGAACUCCAGAGAGCUUGAACUGUAUCAUUUUCAAGUUGAGUUACUCUAAAAGAAGUGGCUUUUACCAGUAAAAGUUGCGCUAGCAAAGAAAAUCAUAAACCUAAUAGAUACUCCCUCUAUCCCAAAAUAUAACAACUUUUAGCCCUCAGGAUUUAUCCCAAAAUAUAACAACUUCUCCAUCAACAUUCUCUUCCUAACCAAUCACAACCCUCCACCAUUCACUUUUCCCACCUACCUCCACUACUCAUCCAAUCACAACCCUCCACUAUUCACUUCUACCUACUUUCUUAAUAACCGUGUCCAACUCUAAAACUUCUUAUAUUCUGGGACGGAGGGAGUAUACAAUUUAGAUUAACUAUUCAUGUUAGAAAUCUAUGUAGAGAUUUUCUGUUGAAAAUACCUGGCUUGAUUUCUCAGGAAGAAUCAGGUACAAAUUCACAUCAUUCUGGAAUAGAAACCGCACAUUUCGGGCCCUGGAGAAUGCUCUGCAGAGUUACAGGGCAACCUUAGAAGCUGAAAAACAGGUAUCCAGAAAUUAUUCUAGCUUGAAUAUUUUCUGUUGAUUUUGCAGAAAUUAUCUGAGCAUCUGUAAUGCUUUCCUACAAACAGGUCAGAAUGCAUUCACUUCAACAAAGAAGAAGCAGCGAUGUCAUCUGUAGCAAAAUAGAUGACCUAAAGACAGCAGAAAGAAGCAUUGAACAAGCAAAAGCAUUCCAACCUUUCAUCAAUGAACAUGUUCUUGUAGAUGCAACCAGUGUGAGCAUCCCAAGUUGUUUUCCUACAUAUUCAAUGCACAAUUUGUUAUCCCUUUCCCCCCUAAUUUUCAACAUGACAUUGUCCAUCAGAAAACCUUCCCUGGCACAUCUGAGAAGUUCUUCAGUAUCAUAUUAGGUGACAAUUCAAUGUUUUUCCAGCAGUAUCGACAUGGAAGAAAAGAUACAGAUUUAAAGGUUCCUAUUUUGUCAGUAGCACCAAUCGCAUGUUCUAUUUGCUAUGUCAAUCCUUGGAUGUGUUAAUCUAGUGACUGGUAGCAUAACCAACAUUUUUUUAAUUUAUAGUGUUU